GACAGAGGGUGCAAACGUUGUUCGGAAUUACUGGGCGUAAAGCGCGUGUAGGCGGCUAAGUAAGUCGGGCGUGAAAUCCCACGGCUCAACCGUGGAAGUGCACUCGAAACUGCAUAGCUAGAGUCCUGGAGAGGAAGGUGGAAUGCUUGGUGUAGAGGUGAAAUUCGUAGAUAUCAAGCGGAACACCGGUGGCGAAGGCGGCCUUCUGGACAGUGACCGACGCUGAGACGCGAAAGCGUGGGGAGCAAACAGG
rnacentral:rRNA from 1 species